AUUGAACGCUGGCGGCAGGCCUAACACAUGCAAGUCGAGCGGAGCGGCGGACGGGUGAGUAAUGUAUGGGGAUCUGCCUGAUAGAGGGGGCUCACUACACGAAAGAGUGGCUAAUACCCCAUACUAUUGGAGCGGCCGGUAGCGGAUUAGCUCGCUGGUGGGGUAAAGGCUCAUCAAGGCGACGACCCGUAGCGGGUUUGAGAGGACGACCAGCCACACUGGGACUGAGACGCGGCCCAGACUCCUACGGGAGGCAGCAGUGGGGAAUUUUGGACAAUGGGGGAAAGCCUGAUCCAGCCAUCCCGGGUGUAUGAUGAAGGCCUGCGGGUUGUAAAGUACUUUUGGCAGGGAAGCGGUAUCUGCAGAGUAAGCACCGGCUAACUACGUGCCAGCAGCCGCGGUAAUUC
rnacentral:rRNA from 1 species